CAAUAGAGCCUUAAGUCGUUAAAUCUCACGUCUACUGAUUUAAAAAAAAAACGAAUAGAAUAAUUACUACCAAGUUCGAUAAAUCGAUAAUCCUUUUAUUCCACCUCUUUGUAAGUUGUAUUAAUUUAAAUAAUUCUUAUUAGUGUCAAAGGACAAUAGAUGCCAAUAAAUCAUUAAUUCAAACAGUGACGAGUGGGUGGAGAAGUGAUAAUCUGCAGAUUAUCUAUUUCAUUUGUCUGGCUAAUGUUGGUCUCAAGUCUCAACAGAAACAGACGCGUGGGAAGGGGCUAUAACCCCGUAUACGGAUAUACCACAAACAAGCUUAUCCCAAAGCCUAAAGUUUGUAAUUCUGUACAUAAGGUCGGUACUGGUCAAGAAAAUCUAAAAUCAUCCAGUUAACUUUGUCCAUAAAAUAAACCGCUCUUUAGUGAACGAGCCGCUAAGUACUGGACAACUGACAACGUCAAUGGAAUUAAGGCUUGAGGGUGGAGAAGUACUGCUUUAAGGCCUUGAAGUAUUCUUUGGCCAAUGAAGAACAUCAUGGGUGUUCCUAAAUUCAUAACCAUAAGGUUACUGAAUUCUCUUGUUGAUUUAAAUACCAUCAAUACAGCUAACAGGGACUCUCAACCAUUUCAAAAAUUAUCCUGCGAAAUAAGAAAUUGAUCGACGGAAUAUCGACGAAAUUGCCGGUCAUUUUUCACACUAAAUUUAUUGCUCAAAAUAUUAGCGCUUUGGAUACAUACACACAUAAACACAUAUAAUAUAUAAUAUGAAUACCUACCAUAUACCAGUUUAUCAUCGGCAUAUCACACGGUCAUCAUUGAGAUUGGUGUGAGUAUUUGACGGGCUGUGUUUUC